GACGAACGCUGGCGGCGUGCCUAAUACAUGCAAGUCGAGCGCAGGAAGCCGUCUGAACCCUUCGGGGGGACGACGGUGGAAUGAGCGGCGGACGGGUGAGUAACACGUAAAGAACCUGCCCAUAGGUCUGGGAUAACCACGAGAAAUCGGGGCUAAUACCGGAUGUGUCAUCGGACCGCAUGGUCCGCUGAUGAACGGCGCUCCGGCGUCGCCCAUGGAUGGCUUUGCGGUGCAUUAGCUAGUUGGUGGGGUAACGGCCCACCAAGGCGAAGAUGCAUAGCCGACCUGAGAGGGUGAUCGGCCACACUGGGACUGAGACACGGCCCAGACUCCUACGGGAGGCAGCAGUAGGGAAUCUUCCACAAUGGACGAAAGUCUGAUGGAGCAACGCCGCGUGAACGAUGAAGGCUUUCGGGUCGUAAAGUUCUGUUGUAAGGGAAGAACAAGUGCCGCAGGCAAUGGCGGCACCUUGACGGUACCUUGCGAGAAAGCCACGGCUAACUACGUGCCAGCAGCCGCCGUAA
rnacentral:rRNA from 1 species